AUUGAACGCUGGCGGCAGGCCUAACACAUGCAAGUCGAACGAGUGGCGGACGGGUGAGUAAUGUCUGGGAAAAUGCCCGAUGGAGGGGGAUAACUACUGGAAACGGUAGCUAAUACCGCAUACCAUCGGAUGUGCCCAGAUAGGAUGAGCUAGUAGGUGGGGUAACGGCUCCCCUAGGGGACGAUCCCUAGCUGUGCUGAGAGGAUGACCAUCCACACUUGAACUUAGACACGGUCCAGACUCCUACGGGAUGCAGAAGUGGGGAAUAUUGCACAAUGGGCGCAAGCCUGAUGCAGCCAUGCCGCGUGUAUUACGAAGGCCUUCGGGUUGUAAAGUACUUUCAGCGAGGAGGCGUUACUCGCAGAAGAAGCACCGGCUAACUCCGUGCCAGCAGCCGCGGUAAUAC
rnacentral:rRNA from 1 species